rnacentral:rRNA from 1 species
AUUGAACGCUGGCGGCAGGCCUAAUACAUGCAAGUCGAACGAGUGGCGGACGGGUGUGUAACGUCUGGGAAACUGCCCGUUGGAGGGGGAUAACUUCUGGAAACGGUAGCUAAUACCGCAUACCAUCGGAUGUGCCCAGAUAGGAUUAGUUUGUGGGUGGGGUAACGGCUCACCUAGGCGACGAUCCCUAGCUGGUUUGAGGGGAUGACCAGCCACACUGGAACUGGGACACGGACCGAACUCCUGCGGAGGAAAGAGGUGGGGAAUGUUGCACAGUGGGCGCAAGCCUGAUACAGACAGGCCGGAUAUAUGAGAAGGGCGUUCGGGUGGUAAAGUGCUUUCAGCGAGGAGGCGUUACUCGCAGAGGAAGCACCGGCUAACUCCGUGCCAGCCGCCGCGGUAAUAC